rnacentral:lncRNA from 1 species
CAGCCUGGGUAACAGAGUGAGACCUUGUUUCAAAAAAAAAAAGUUUCUAUGACAAAAUCAUGAGUUAAAAAAUGCUCUAAAUCAAGAUCAUAUUCAGCUAUAAGCAUUCUUUCCUACAUGGUUCAGUAGCAGUGAGCUGAGAUCGCGCCAUUGCACUCCAGCCUGGGUGACAAGAGGGAAACUCUGUCCCCUAAAGGCCAGACAUGGUGGCUCACGCACUUUGGGAGGCCGAGGCUGUGAGGAUUGCUUGAGCCCAGGAGUUUGAGACCAGCCUGGGCAACAUAGUGAAACCCUGUCUCUACAAAAACCUUUUAAAAAUUAGCCAGACAUGGUGGUGUGCCUCUGUAGUCCCAGCUACUUAGGAGGCUGAGAUAGGAGGAUCCCUUGAGCCCAGGA